CUUACACCAGGUUGUCGGUGGUAAAGGGUGGAUGUAAUCAGCUAUAUUGUCAGCGUGUUGUGGACAUAAUCUAAGGGCAUUUCCUCUCAAACCUGAGACCCUUAAAAAAUAUCCCUCAAUAAAGUCUCACAUGAACAGCUGCCCAUGUGUGGGCCAGCCGUAUGAUACCAGGCCACUGUCCCUGCCCCCCACACGCCCAGGUCAGGCCCCAGGGUGCAUCUUUGGUCUGGCUGCACCCCCUCCCAGAUGGGCUGGGGGGCAUGAGUGGCUUGACAGGAAGCCUCUCCCCGCAGGUGGCCCUGGGACAGGCUCCAGGGCUCAUGGGAUGGGAGGCCAGGGAAGAAGCUCAAGGUUUACACAGCCCAGGAGUCCAGGGCCUCGGAGGAACCGGCAGCUGCUCGCUAAGAAGGGGCCAUCUGUGAGCAGGGGAGAGACGGGCUCGCGGGCAGCUUGACAGCAAGGAAGGACACCGCAGGGAACAGCAAGAAAGGUCAGACCCUGGACCAAACCGCAAUGAUUUUCUGACCAUACGCCGAAUAAUUUCUGUUCUCUUCCUUGUGAAGUGCUCGCAGAUUCUCUUCUUUAUUUCUAAACAGGGCCCUGUGUGGUCCUCUUUGAAAGAUGUGCUUCUUAUCUGUGGCCUUGUGGAGAAGCUCACCUUCAAUCUGGGAGUCUCGAUCCAGAAGGCUCUAGAGCUGCCUGGUCACAGGUGGUCGCGGGGCGUGCAGGACUGACGUGGCCCACACCCUUCCGGGUCAUCUCCAGACAAGUUUCACAGGUGUCUCCCUGCUCCAUGUUUCGGGCACAGUAAAGAGCCUGGGUCCCUAGUUACUGUGUUCCCGGAAAGCACAUCGUGAGGUUCAAGGCAUCCUCGGGAAGCCUGCUUCUCCAGAGAUUCGUCAUAGCUCCGAUGAGACGAGAGUGGCCUGGGUCAGCUGAGAGGGUGCUCUCCAAUCCCACUGCUGUUGAUUGCCACGCCUCUCAACGCUGGGCCUCGGUUUCCCCGCAUAUAAAACAGGCACGUGACUGCCCUGGGAGAACGUUGUUUAGACUGAAUGGAAUGACCAGCUGCACCCCAGCAUUGGCUGGGCUUGUGCCGUGUCUUACUUUGGGUUAAAAUCAGUCAGAUCUGCCUCAGGGGACCCCAGAGCCCUCCCCAGGGGUCCUGCCUGUUUCCAGGGGCUCGCCCCCAGGGUGCCUCCAGGUUUGACUCCCGAGGCAUCGGUCCACACCAGAGAACGCCUGGCCACGUGCAGCUGGCUCAGUCACAUCCUCUGUGGCCCCCGAAGCCGCUCUUGACAGAGCAAGGACAUUCACACAGUGUGUCACAAAGCAUGACCCCGCCCCAUGUACCCGUGCUCUGUGUACAUGUGCGCGACAGAAAAGUCUCUUCACGGAACAGCCCCCGCUCUGGACUGCGCAGUCUGGCAUCUUCUGUGUCGUUAUGUUCCAGUCUGUUCUACUCGUUAGGAAGAAAACGCUAGUUGUGAGCCACUA